AUGGUAAGUUUCCAUUUCGGGGGAUUCCUUUUCUGAAAAUUCAACACUAAUUGCCACAUGUUGCGACCUCAUUCGUCCUAAGUCACUAAUCUGUCCAUGUCAUUAAAGUUUUACAUUUUUUCCACCAUUUCAAAACUUUAAAAAUGCAUAGAAAAUAGCUCCAGUGUCGGAAAAAUUCACCGAAAAAUGUCACGGACCACUGGCGGGGCCCACUUCACAACUGCGUCUGAAUUUUUAGUCAUUGGAAUCACAACGUACCUACUAAUGUGGUAUAACUUGUUUGGUAGGUUAUUUGCUAGUGUACAACUUUGUGAACCAACUAUAUAGAGGAAGCAAAAUUUUCAAAAAUCUUGUGAAAUAGGAUGUGAUCGGUAUAGUAAAAUAUGGCUACGAUAGAAAAAUCACUUUAAUUUGCCAAUGUUUGGGCCCUGAUCAAAGCGGUCAACCCUAUUUACGUUUAUGCUUCACUAAGGAGAGCCCUAUCCUCGGGUGGUAAAUGUCCCCCAAAGUUUUACAUGGGUGGUUAAAUCUCAUCUAUGUGAGACUUUAUUGUGUUGAAGAAUCCACCAAACUAGGUCACAAAGAGGUAGGUAAGAUAGUUUUCGUAUGAUAAGUGAAUAUGAAUUAGGGUUGACCGCUUUGAUCGAGCCCCGAACAUUGUUGAAUCCAGUUGAAUUUUAUACCAUAGUCAUGUUUCACUAUAAUGAUCACAUCAUACGGUCAAUUUUCAUUUUGUGAAUUUUAGUUAUCGAAAUCAUAACAUGCCUACUAAAGUAAUAUAACAUGUUUGAUAGGUUAUAUGCUAGUGUACAACUUUGUGAACCAACUAUAUAGAGAAAGCAAAAUUUUCAAAAAUCUCAUGAAAUAGGAUGUGAUCAGUAUAGUAAAAUACGGCUACGGUAGGAAAAUCACUUUAAUUUGUCAAUGUUUGGGCCCCGAUCGAAGCGGUCAACCCUAUUUAUGCUUAUGUUUAUGCUUCAAUAAGGAGAGCCCUAUCCUCGGGUGGUAAACGUCCCCAAAGUUUUACAUGGGUGGUUAUGUCUCAUCUAUGUGACACUUUAUUGUGUUGAAGAAUGUCACGUCCCGACUUUUAUAUUUUUACCUUAUUUACUAGCUUGUUUAUAAUAAGAAUUUUACCGUCUCCGUCAUUGAGUUAAUGGUUUAAUUGGUCCCUAGAGGGGUUUCGGGGACAAUUAUGUGCGGAGGAUUACUCGUAGGAGGAUUUUAUGACGACGGUAAAAAUGGUAAAUUUUAGCUAGUAAAAGGUAAUUUUUAUUCGGGUAUUAUUUUUUCGGGGUGUUUUAUUUUGGAGUGGGUUGAUAUAUGAGUAUUGGACCGGUUUGGAGAGGCCCAAACCCAUCUCCCUCUUUUUCUCUUCUCCCUCUCUCUCGUUUUCUCCUUUCCCCCGAGUCUUCUCCCCUGCCGGAUCGCCCAGCCCACGUCUGCCACCGGCCGCCGCUCCACCCCAGUUCGGACCUCCAUCUCCUCCUCUCCCUCCCCGGCCUAGCCCCCGAGCCUCUAACCCGCCGGAAGAGGAGAAAACCCGCCGGAAACGCCGGGAAGCAUUUCGCCGGAACUCCCUCCUCCGGCCACCAAUCUGGGCAAGCUUGGUACGGUUUUGUAGCCCUCCAACCCAGCAGCCUUGCCCUAAAAUGACUCACCCUCUCUUGAGCUAGGUAAGGAGAAAUGUGGAGUUGAAAUUUCUAUGGCUUUUAGGUGUUUGUGUUCGAUUGCCCUAGUUAGGCUUGGAUUUUGGGUUUGUGCUGGUCAUGAAAGUUGUAGAGCAUGAUGAGGAGAUUAUUCUGUCAAAAUUUCAUAGGUUAAGGAGGUCGCCGGAAUUGGCCUCCGGCCGCCGCCGCCGCCGCUGCUGGUUGGGAGAUUUUAAUGUUGUUAAAUUUGGAAUAUUAAGGGGAGUUUAUUGAAGUGAGUUAUGGAAUUUUUGGAUGAGUUUUGGAUAGGUUUAUGAAUUUCCGAAGUUAGUAUUUUUGGCGGUUAAUUUAUGUAGAAUCCGGCCGUUGGAUUAAGUUGUUUAAUAUGUGGGAAGGUGUAGUUACGGCUGCUGGUUCUAGGGUUGAAAUGUGGACCAUUUCGAAGUUAGGCAAUGAUGAGCGUGUUAAUGGCUCUCGGUUAAUUUCUGCCUAUUUUGUGUAAAUAUUGGAAUUUCGGCUGGGAACUUAAUAUUACAUUUGGAACAGGUCGUGAGGAGGCUCGAGCUGAUGAGGCCCCAGAUCGACAUCAGGCUUAGGCCUAAUUUGUGAGUGGACUUUUGUUUUAAAUAAUGUGCAUGCGAAAUAAUUUAUGUUGUUGGAGAAUGACCGAAAUUGAGAAUUUCGGUGAGUAUAUAUAUAUAUAUAUAUCCAUAUGUGGAUGAUUAUGAGAAUAAUAUGUAUAUGAGAGAAUGCUAGCUAGCUAUACGUGCUUUUCCACCAUACUGAGGUAAAUUCCAUUAUGGUGCAACGUGAGCGUUAGACGCAAUCGUUGUAGCCCUAUAUAAAAAUAAUAAUUUAUAUAGGGGAUAAUGCGCGUAUAUUUAUACACCGUCUUUUUCAUCAUAAUGAGGUAAAAUGCCAUUAUGGUGCAACGUGAGUAUUAGACGCAAGCAUUGUAGCCUUGUGUGAAUUUUCUAUUUGUUUUAGUUGUUUCAAGAAAAUUCAUACAAGGGAUAUGACGAGUGUAAUACAUACAUAUUUUAUUUUAGCCUGAGAGGCUGUAUUUUAUUGAGCAUUGGAGACUGGCCGGAGCUAGUCAUGAAAUUUCCAGUUUUUCGUGUUGAGCGUUUUGAGUUGUCGCAUGCAGCAUGUUUUUCUAUGGAAAAGUAAAAUUGGGAAAGCAUAAAGAAUUAUUUCAUUAAUUUUAUUUUUGUCCACUCACUCUAACGUGUUCAAAUGUUUCCCCUGGGCCCUUCGUUUUAAAAUGCCCAGUCUGCAGAGUUCGGGUUGGACCUAGUAGGAGACGAGGCAUAGUCACUCGCAUUUCCACCACUUUUCAUCAGUAGGUUACAUGUUUAACCUACCUGUGGUUUCUUUUUCCGCUAGUGUUUAGUAGCUCUAAAUACUUGGGUUUAAUGUAUAUUAUUUCGGUUGUAGGGUGAAGACUUGUUGACGUCUUAGAAUAUUUGUUGGAGGAUUUAUGGUAUCUUUUGGAUAAUUAUAUUUGAUGUUGGAUAAUGUUGUGUUGUUGGAGGUAGUAAAUUUUGGGGAGCACGUAGGCUCCCGGAGUUAAGGUUGGAUUAAAAAUUUUUAGAAGUGUUUGCAAGUUUUCGUUAGGAAGGGUUGUCCAUUUUCAAGGGAAGUUAUGCCGAUUUUUCGGUAAUAUCUUUCUUGGAGGUGGUCCCCGCACGAGUUACUCCGGGUUUCAGAGUGAAAUUCGGGGUGGGUCGUGUCAAAGAAUCCACCAAACUAGGUCACGAAG
rnacentral:lncRNA from 1 species